UUCUUUCUCCAAAAACACUGCCUUUCAGAAAACAGCAAAACAGAGGCUGUUGCAUAACCUUGCUUUGUUUUGCUGUCCCUCUCUCUCAUCAACUUUCUCUCUCUAAGUUCUCUCAUUCACAGAGCUUCCUUUGAAGCUUAUUUGCUUUCGAUCAACAAGUGGUAUCAGAGCCCUUAUCUUAAGGGACCGGUAAACCAACAUACCCUCGAAAACUCGAU
rnacentral:lncRNA from 1 species